UGUUGCUUGUUCUCUGGGUGAUGGCGUCGGAUAUGCGUUAGCAUGUAAGAUGUAUUUCCACUUACAUACCCAACAACUGCUGAACAACGCCGACACACAGUCCUCGUCUUAUCCACCACUCUCACUCCUGUACUACUGUAACUGAC